rnacentral:rRNA from 1 species
CCUACGGGGGGCUGCAGUAGGGAAUAUUGCUCAAUGGGGGAAACCCUGAAGCAGCAACGCCGCGUGGAGGAUGAAGGUUUUCGGAUUGUAAACUCCUUUUGUUAGAGAAGAUAAUGACGGUAUCUAACGAAUAAGCACCGGCUAACUCCGUGCCAGCAGCCGCGGUAAUAAGGAGGGUGCAAGCGUUACUCGGAAUCACUGGGCGUAAAGAGCGCGUAGGCGGGAUAGCAAGUCAGAUGUGAAAUCCUAUGGCUUAACCAUAGAACUGCAUUUGAAACUGGUAGUCUAGAGUAGGGGAGAGGUAGGUGGAAUUCUUGGUGUAGGGGUAAAAUCCGUAGAGAUCCAGAGGAAUACUGAUUGCGAAGGCGACCUGCUAGAACAUAACUGACGCUGAUGCGCGAAAGCGUGGGGAGCAAACAGGAUUAGAUACCCGAGUAGUC